GAUGAACGCUAGCUACAGGCUUAACACAUGCAAGUCGAGGGGAAACGACAUCGAAAGCUUGCUUUUGAUGGGCGUCGACCGGCGCACGGGUGAGUAACGCGUAUCCAACCUGCCCACCACUUGGGAAUAACCUUGCGAAAGUAAGACUAAUACCCGAUGAUAUCCCACGAAGGCAUCCGAAUGGGAAUAAAGAUUUAUCGGUGAUGGAUGGGGAUGCGUCUGAUUAGCUUGUUGGCGGGGUAACGGCCCACCAAGGCGACGAUCAGUAGGGGUUCUGAGAGGAAGGUCCCCCACAUUGGAACUGAGACACGGUCCAAACUCCUACGGGAGGCAGCAGUGAGGAAUAUUGGUCAAUGGGCGAGAGCCUGAACCAGCCAAGUAGCGUGCAGGAUGACGGCCCUAUGGGUUGUAAACUGCUUUUAUAAGGGAAUAAGUGAGUCUCGUGAGACUUUUUGCAUGUACCUUAUGAAUAAGGACCGGCUAAUUCCGUGCCAGCCGCCGCGGUAA
rnacentral:rRNA from 1 species